GAGACUUUAAGUCUCCUGAAGGAACGUUAAAGACGACGACGUUGAUAGGCCGGGUGUGUAAGCGCAGCGAUGCGUUGAGCUAACCGGUACUAAUGAACCGUGAGGCUUAACCUUACAACGCCGAAG
rnacentral:rRNA from 1 species